GUGCCUAACACAUGCAAGUCGAACGGUAACAGGACUUCGGUCGCUGACGAGUGGCGCACGGGUGAGUAACGCGUGGAUAUCUACCUAUGGGUGGGGGACAACUACGGGAAACCGUAGCUAAUACCGCAUACGACCUACGGGUGAAAGCGGGGGACCUUCGGGCCUCGCGCCGAUAGAUGAGUCCGCGUCUGAUUAGCUAGUUGGUAGGGUAAAGGCCUACCAAGGCGAUGAUCAGUAACUGGUUUGAGAGGAUGAUCAGUCACACUGGAACUGAGACACGGUCCAGACUCCUACGGGAGGCAGCAGUGGGGAAUUUUGCACAAUGGGCGCAAGCCUGAUGCAGCGACGCCGCGUGCGGGAAGAAGGCCUUAGGGUUGUAAACCGCUUUCAAUUGGGAAGAAGGGAUGAAGGUUAAUAACUUUCUGACUUGACGGUACCUUUAGAAGAAGCACCGGCUAAUUUCGUGCCAGCAGCCGCGGUAAUACGAAAGGUGCAAGCGUUGUUCGGAUUUACUGGGCGUAAAGAGAUCGUAGGUGGUUUGUUAAGUUGGAUGUGAAAUCCCGGGGCUCAACCUCGGAACUGCAUCCAAAACUGGCAGACUAGAGUUCGGGAGGGGUAAGCGGAAUUCCGUGUGUAGCAGUGAAAUGCGUAGAUAUACGGAGGAACACCAGAGGCGAAGGCGGCUUACUGGACCGAUACUGACACUGAGGAUCGAAAGCGUGGGUAGCAAACAGGAUUAGAUACCCUGGUAGUCCACGCCCUAAACGAUGUCAACUAGUCGUUGCGGGUAUUGACCCCUGCAGUGACGCAGCUAACGCAUUAAGUUGACCGCCUGGGG
rnacentral:rRNA from 1 species